UCUCUGAUGCGUGCAUAAGGAAUUUGAUUUUACGAAUCUGAAAAAGGGACUAUUCUACCAGAAGUUAAAUUGGAAUUUGAGAACUGGAAUGUGAAUGACAAAAUUGUCCUAAAUGUUAGCCUGCAGGGAUAUCUUUCAUAACAACACUGAAAUUCAGGCAGAAAGCCAUCAUCCUGUCAGCAACAGCAACAACAAGUCUACAUUCAGCAACCCACCACCCGAACACAGUUCAAGUCACGCCACAAACAUAACACAUUAGCCAACAAGUUUCUGAUUUAUGAUAAUUUUUUCAGGACCAGAAGUGCUCUGCGCUCUGCUAUUAACCCCAUGAAAAGAGUUCUUUCCAGAUAAGCGGAUACUUGCGGCUGCGUGGAGUGGAUCCCAGUCCCAGUUUGCUACCAGCAAUCCCAACCCAAGACACAGGAUGAGCAUUGUCUGGGAAAGCACACUGUCGUCACCUGCCUCCCCCAUCCCGGUCCCCACCACUCUCUGACUGAUGCCAUCGCCUAGAUGAUAAAGCGCCCGUCACUCAAGCACAGAAGUCGAAAUUCAUAGUUCAUUUCUUUACUUAUGUAAGAUCAUUCACUGACAAAAGAACUCAAAUGGAAAGGCUUUGGGCAUAUGCAGAAACGGGGAGAAAAAAAUAAUCUCUCCGAGUCAGAAGCCUCGGGGGAGCAUAGCAAGACUUAUCAAAGUUACAGUGCUCCAUUUGGAAAGCGCCAACCGCCAGCCCUCGGGCGAGGUGCAGUGGUGCAUAAUUAAUGUAGUCCCAGACACAGGUCACUGAAGUGCCCCACAGGUGUGUGCCUGGUUUUCAAUAAGGCCUUUCCCUCGGAACUCCUCUUCCGACUUUGAGUUUGUGCUCCCGGAAGCCUUGCACGAUCGGGAGAAUUCAGAAGAACGAUCUGAAUGCCCAUCAAUAGAAAAUGGCAAGAAAUUACGGCAGAUCUAGUCUCUGGAAUCCUAGGUUUUCCAGAUUUGGAGACGUGCCACGCAGUGGAGCGUGAUGACUGUCCAAGAGCUGUUAAGGAGCUACCUCGUGCCCCCGACCACAACCCCCUGCGCGCGCCCCCUGGCGGGGAAGAGGCUUGGCCCCCAUGGGAUAUCAGAAGCAGGAGAACCCUAAGAAAGCGCCCCUCCCUCUGUGCUUGAGGAGACUACUCCGAAGUGGGAUUUCUUCCCGCAAACUUUUCCAGAAGAAUCCGGCGUGAGAAGUAGACACACCUGCUGAAACCGGCCAGCACAGCUACGCAUCCCAUCACUUCAUUGUUUCUGGAUUAACUUCCGGUUGUUUUGUUUUAUUUAACUUUCUCCUUCACCAGCCUUGCUUGCUUUUCCCAAAUAAAGUGGACCCCGAU
rnacentral:lncRNA from 1 species